AUUGAACGCUGGCGGCAUGCCUUACACAUGCAAGUCGAACGGUAACAGGUCUUCGGAUGCUGACGAGUGGCGAACGGGUGAGUAAUACAUCGGAACGUGCCUAGUAGUGGGGGAUAACUACUCGAAAGAGUGGCUAAUACCGCAUGAGAUCUACGGAUGAAAGCAGGGGAUCGCAAGACCUUGUGCUACUAGAGCGGCCGAUGGCAGUUUAGGUAGUUGGUGGGAUAAAAGCGUACCAAGCCGACGAUCUGUAGCUGGUCUGAGAGGACGAUCAGCCACACUGGGACUGAGACACGGCCCAGACUCCUACGGGAGGCAACAGUGGGGAAUUUUGGACAAUGGGCGCAAGCCUGAUCCAGCAAUGCCGCGUGCAGGAUGAAGGCCUUCGGGUUGUAAACUGCUUUUGUACGGAACGAAAAGCCCUGGAUUAAUACCCUGGGGUCAUGACGGUACCGUAAGAAUAAGCACCGGCUAACUACGUGCCAGCCGCCGCAGUAACAC
rnacentral:rRNA from 1 species